UUAUAUCUUAAACAUUCAUUCCAUAGCUCUGUAACAUUAAGUAAGCUUACCCUCAGUCUAACUUCCACUAAUUGUCAAACUGCAUGCUUUUGACUUACAGCACUCUUUGCCCCAGCGCACCCCGGCCCAGUCUAUUGUCUUGUUGAUAGGCCAAGCUGGCCAUAGCUACAGCAAUGUUUAUUGUUGAAUUUUAGAAGAUCAGUUGCUAUUUGUUACCUCAAGGAAACACCAUAGACUCAGCGAGAUUUAUUGCCGAUUUCUUAUCAUGUGAGGAUUUGGAUUUGUGAAAGGAUUUAUUCAUAUUUAAGGUUAGUUGGUUAUUUAUUUUAUGAUGUUGUAUAUAUGGAUGUUUUCUAAUUAUUGUGAUUAGAAAUAAUAUAUAUUGUAGAAUGCAUUCUUUAUUUGAUUUAUUAGAAACAUAAUGCAUCUUGUAUAUAUUUAUAGUGCUUGAUGAACUUACAGUUCAGUGAGUAAUUAUUAUCUGUAUAAAACAGUAUUAAACACAAAACCUAAAUAUAUAUAUAAACUAAGUAAUAUAAACCCCUCUGGACAGUAAUGGAAAGUAAAUGUAUGUCUGUAUGCUUGAUUUAUGUUGGUAAGUGCGAAUGUAUGAGUGUUGUAUGUCUGAUAUGAGUGGCUGUUGUACUAUAUAUUUUUAUACACUAUUUUACCAUAGGAUAUCACUUGUAUAUAGUAUUCUGCAUUUGUAUUUCUUUAUUAUGCAAAUUUCUCAGUAGCAACGUUCACCGUUCGAUCAUUGUCACGGUAUUACCAGUUCAGGUAUCACCUAUCUGACUGAAAUUAAGUGCGUACAUUCGCACCUAUAAUAAAAUAAACGUCAUCAGCCUCA